AAGACGAGGAUAACAACCGGAAGGUUACUAAGACUGGAUAGGAAUCAAAAGGGUUUCUUUUGCGUUUUUAAAGACCUUCUUACGAAGGUAUGCUUAAAGAGGGGCUUGCGCCACAUUAGUUAGUUGGUAGAGUAAAAGCCUACCAAGACGAUGAUGUGUAUCUGGACUGAGAGGUUGAACAGCCACAUUGGGACUGAGACACGGCCCAAACUCCUACGGGAGGCAGCAGUAGGGUAUUUUCGGCAAUGGAGGAAACUCUGACCGAGCAACGCCACCUGAACGAUGAAGUAUUUCGGUAUGUAAAGUUCUUUUAUUGAAGAAGAAAAAGUAGUGGAAAAACUAUAUUGACGUUAUUGCAUGAAUAAGCCCCGGCUAACUAUGUGCCAGCAGCCGCGGUAAGACAUAGGGGGCGAGCGUUAUCCGGAAUUAUUGGGCGUAAAGAACGCGUAGGCUGUUAGAUAAGUCUAUAAUUUAAUUUCAGUGCUUAACGCUGUCUUGUUAUAGAAACUGUCUUGACCAGAGUGAGAUAGAGGCAAGCGGAAUUCCAUGUGUAGCGGUAAAAUGUGUAAAUAUAUGGAGGAACACCAGAAGCGUAGGCGGCUUGCUGGGUCUUUACUGACGCUGAGGCACGAAAGCGUGGGUACAAAACAGGAUUAGAUACCCUGGUAGUCCACGCCGUAAACGAUGAGUACUAAGUGUCGGGGUAAAACUCGGUACUGAAGUUAACACAUUAAGUACUUUGCCUGAGUAGUACGUACGCAAGUAUGAAACUUAAAGGAAUUGACGGGACUCCGCACAAGAGGUGGAUCAUGUUGUUUAAUUCGAAGAUACACGAAAAAUCUUACCAGGUCUUGACAUACUCUGCAAAGCUAUAGAAAUAUAGUGGAGGUUAUCAGGGAUACAGGUGGUGCAUGGUUGUCUUCAGUUCGUGUCGUGAGAUGUUAGGUUAAGUCCUAAAACGAACGCAACCCUUGUCGUUAAUUGCCAGCACAUAAUGGUGGGGACUUUAACUAGACUGCCAAUUAAACAUUGGAGGAAGGUGAGGAUUACGUCAAAUCAUCAUGCCCCAUAUGAUCUGGGCUACAAACGUGAUACAAUGGCUGUGACAAAGAGUAGCUGAAACGCGAGUUUUUAGCCAAUCUCAAAAAAGCAGUCUCAGUUCACAUUGAAGUCUGUAACUCGACUUCAUGAAGUUGGAAUCGCUAGUAAUCGCGAAUCAGCCUGUCGCGGUGAAUACGUUCUCGGGGUUUG
rnacentral:rRNA from 1 species